UCCGGCCCUGGCCCCGCCUCUCUGGCCCGGCCCGCCUGGUGCUCCGUAGCACCUGCGGCUUGUCUGACCGCUGGAAGAGCCGAGAGUCCCUGGGCCCUGUCCCCGAGGCCAGGCGGCGCAGAGGACACGCGUUACCUGCUCCGUCUGGGGGGCAGGCGGCCAACAUCCCAACCCCAUUUGGGAGAAACGGGAAGGUUUCGGCUGGUCGCCUGCCCUGGUGUCUCCUGCCCUCUCCCUGCCCACCUCCCAUAGUGGAGGCCCCGAAGGCCCCGAAGGGCACCGCUGCACCCUGCGUGGAGUUGACCAUGAGACUUAGGGGAGGUCGGCUCCGGGCUUGGAUGCCGGGAGCAGAGCCCAGGAGGUAACCCCCGCCUGUGGCAGAGUGUGGAGUGAGAGCCAAUACCUGGAGCUGGUGCAGCCAUCUUACACCCCUGAGGAAGACGCCGAGAGAAUCUCGGAGAUGCCAGCCCAAGUCGCUGAGAUAAUACAGUCCCCACCCCUCUUUGAGGGUAUUGCUGUGUGAUUAAGGGGAAAAAAGGACAAGAAAAAAGCCCUUUGUUUAAGCCUGUUAUACAGUGGCUUCCAUACUUGGAAGUAACACAAUCAUCACUAAUAGGCGGAGGCAACAGAAGGUCAGAGGCCUGUCUGGCUGGCAGAUGUCCAGGAAGUCUUGUGUUCAUGACACUGCCACACAGUGGCACUACACAAUGUGCUGUCCCCCUCCAGGAAAGUGAUGCUGAAGUAUCUUAUGCAAGACCCCAUUCAUAUGGUAACAUCCUCCUCACUGCCCUCUUCAACUCCUUCCGGUCACCAUGGCAACUGGCACCGGAAGUGAGCAGCAAGGAUGCAUCAGAGAAGAUGCGGGCUACAAGCUUAGGAAGGUGGCCUGCACAGCACCAACCUGACCCGCUCUGGCCCCUCAGAGAUGUUAGCCCACUCCAGCUGGGUGCACUCCGGCCACCUUCCUGCCUUCUUGGUACCCUUACCGUACCUGCGUACCUGCCCGUUAGGGCCAGCAACGGCCUCCGUCAUGUUGGAAACAUGCCUUGCAUCUGUGUCUGCCCUCCCUACUAUCUAGGAUACACUGUGCUCCAAGGUGUAUGUCAUUGGGAGAAAAUCUGUCUUCACGGAGUCUCUGGAGAGUUCCUUGCAUGGGACCUGGAGUGCAUGUGAAAUUCUCUUCUACUGCACACUUGUAAAUUGCACAGACCGCUGUGCUUAUCCCAGCCUUCAAGCUGCUCCAUCAUCAGCAUCCCAGGUGCUGUCCACGAUUGGCCAGCAGAAGCCUCUUUGAACUUACUCCGAAGCCUUUGGUAGGAGCCUUGUUGUUUUUGAGAAUGUCCUUGCCGUUUGUGUGACAAGAAUCCCCAUGUUCGUUGGGUACGUGUCCUGUGUCAGCCCUGCUGUCGGGAGGCAGCAUCUAGGGCCGGGAGAGGGCUCUAGUUUUGAUUCUAAGAUAGAAGCAGAGUCUGAGCAGUCUGAGAGCAGAGUCUGAAGGCCAGAGGCAGGCCACAAGCACAAGAGCUACUCCGUCCUUCGUCUGUACUGUCUUUUGCCCAAGACGGCGCUAACAACUUUCAGAUGUUCCCAGCACUGUGGGCGGCUGGUCCUCUUCCCUUGGACUCAGGAAUCCGAGCCGUUUCUGACCAGCCCCUUGGUGCAGGGGCCUCAGUGGAGGCAGAAGCUUCCAAGAGCAUGUGACUCUAUGGGCAGGGGUCACUUCCAAUCAAACUCUUACCUCGGGGAGGAGGGUUUCCUGGGCCUGUUGCUUAGUCGGAAUAUGGAGCUUAGUUUCUGGGCAAAGAGCAAAUUCUCACAAGGAUUCUGCAAACAUUACAUGUUCUAUCCCUGACAAGUGGAUCGUUUAUCCUUCUGGAAAGGCUACCUACAGGACUUGGAGAAAUUUACUUAACAGCAAAACAGAUGACAGCCAUAGCUUUCUAAUUCCAUCGGUUCUUACCAGAGGGAGAGACCUAUCAAUCAUGGUGCAUAGGGGGGAGGGGGUCUCAGGCUAAAGUGAGGCUUCGCCAGGUCUCACAGAGCAGCUGUACCGCGGGGAACAGGAUUUCGGGAUGCCAGCAAAAACAACAUUCGCUUCAGAAACAAUGUGUAGGAAAUAUUUAUGGAGUCAUGAACUCUUGCAAAGAAUAUAAUGAAAGGCAAAAACUCGGAGAAAGUUGGAGAAAAAAAUCCAGUUCUCAGAAACGCAUGGGAUAGAUCUCACCUGCAUCUCCUCCUCCCUUCCUGGAAGUGCAAAGUGGCCAUACGUGCUGUGCUUGAGGAAUCUGUCUUUGGCCAGAAGAGACAGACAAAGAAUCACAACUGAAAACCUGCAUGACCACGUCUGAGGCAGAAGCCACAGUUCUGUGGGCACAUGAGGAGCUCAUGACUUAUCCUGGCCAGUUCAUGGAGGAGUAGGGUUUGGACGAGGAAAUGAAGGUGAGGAGGAGUUCUCCAGGCCGUACUGCAGCACCAAGGAAAGGAAAGUGUGCCGGACAUUGCAAACGCCAGCAGUCAUCCACAUGGCCACCUCUGUGUGGAUUAGAUAAAGGAGCCCCUUCAAGGCAGACACAGAAGGCAUCCCAUCCCCCGUUUGUGCAGUGCACAAACUACGCAACUGUGCUAGUGGCCCUGGGAGGAGGCCUUGGCAGCUAAAUUUUGUUUGUCUUUCACAUCUUCUUUCCCCUCCUGGUUAUGGACCCCCCUCACCUUUUCUUUAAAUGAAGUGAUUCUGUGUGGUUA